UACGUAGGGCGCAAGCGUUGUCCGGAAUUAUUGGGCGUAAAGAGCUCGUAGGCGGUUUGUCGCGUCUGCUGUGAAAACUCGAGGCUCAACCUCGGGCUUGCAGUGGGUACGGGCAGACUAGAGUGCGGUAGGGGUGACUGGAAUUCCUGGUGUAGCGGUGGAAUGCGCAGAUAUCAGGAGGAACACCGAUGGCGAAGGCAGGUCACUGGGCCGCAACUGACGCUGAGGAGCGAAAGUGUGGGGAGCGAACAGG
rnacentral:rRNA from 1 species